CCUACGGGAGGCAGCGGUGAGGAAUAUUGGUCAAUGGACGAGAGUCUGAACCAGCCAAGUAGCGUGAAGGAUGACUGCCCUAUGGGUUGUAAACUUCUUUUAUAUGGGAAUAAAACGUUCCACGUGUGGGAUUUUGUAUGUACCAUAUGAAUAAGGAUCGGCUAACUCCGUGCCAGCAGCCGCGGUAAUACGGAGGAUCCGAGCGUUAUCCGGAUUUAUUGGGUUUAAAGGGAGCGUAGGUGGAUUGUUAAGUCAGUUGUGAAAGUUUGCGGCUCAACCGUAAAAUUGCAGUUGAAACUGGCAGUCUUGAGUACAGUAGAGGUGGGCGGAAUUCGUGGUGUAGCGGUGAAAUGCUUAGAUAUCACGAAGAACUCCGAUUGCGAAGGCAGUUCACUGGACUGCAACUGACACUGAGGCUCGAAAGUGUGAGUAUCAAACAGGAUUAGAUACCCGGGUAGUC
rnacentral:rRNA from 1 species